rnacentral:rRNA from 1 species
GAUGAACGCUGGCGGCGUGCUUAACACAUGCAAGUCGAACGAUGAAGCCCAGCCUGCUGGGCGGAUUAGUGGCGAACGGGUGAGUAACACGUGAGUAACCUGCCCUUGACUCUGGGAUAAGCCCGGGAAACUGGGUCUAAUACCGGAUAGGAGCGCCUGUCGCAUGACGGGUGCUGGAAAGAUUUUUCGGUCAUGGAUGGACUCGCGGCCUAUCAGCUUGUUGGUGAGGUAACGGCUCACCAAGGCGACGACGGGUAGCCGGCCUGAGAGGGUGACCGGCCACACUGGGACUGAGACACGGCCCAGACUCCUACGGGAGGCAGCAGUGGGGAAUAUUGCACAAUGGGCGGAAGCCUGAUGCAGCGACGCCGCGUGAGGGAUGACGGCCUUCGGGUUGUAAACCUCUUUUCAGUAGGGAAGAAAGCGAAAAGUGAACGGUACCUGCAG